AACGAACGCUGGCGGCGCGUCUUAAACAUGCAAGUCGAACGAUCUGUAGCAAUACAGGGAGUGGCGGACGGGUGAGGAACACGUAGGAAUCUACCUUGAAGAGCGGGACAACUUUGGGAAACCGGGGCUAAUACCGCAUAGUACAGAGAUGUUAAAGGGCUAGCAAUAGUCGCUUCGAGAUGAGCCUGCGGUCUAUCAGCUUGUUGGUGAGGUAAUGGCUCACCAAGGCUACGACGGAUAGCCGGUCUGAGAGGAUGAUCGGCCACACUGGCACUGAGACACGGGCCAGACUCCUACGGGAGGCAGCAGUUAAGAAUCUUGCGCAAUGGGGGAAACCCUGACGCAGCGACGCCGCGUGAAGGAUGAAGGCUUUCGGGUUGUAAACUUCGGUAGACUGGGAAGAGAAUACGGUUCGUUGAGGGCGUAUAAUGACGGUACCAGUCUGAAGCCCCGGCUAAUUACGUGCCAGCAGCCGCGGUAAU
rnacentral:rRNA from 1 species